CAGGUAAUCCCCAAAUCCUGGACUGGUAGGGGGUCCUGAGGACUAACGUUGAGAACCCCUGCUUUAGAUGGACAGACACAGUGCCAUAUGGUCACUACCUUUGCCCCCUGUCCUGCCUGUAAUAGUGUCUGGUUUGCGAUAAAUCGUGUUGUUUCAGGUGCAAACCCGUAUGCGAACAUAGGUAGUUGUAUGGUACAACCUAUGCAUAUAGGUUUAUGUCGAUUGUGUAUGGUAUGACUUGAUGUGUGUGGUACAACGGUUUUGAUCAGAGUUACGUGAUGGCGUUGGUGGUAUUCUAGAUGAGGCAUCGUGUCCAUGCAGGGGCUGUUAUAUGAAUGCGGGGUUUAUACAUCAGAUUUCUUGUGAUUGUGGUCAGCGUAGAUGCUGUGUGGUGGUGAUUUCAGUUAACGCUGAGACCAGGGUUUCCUACGUGGUAUUCUGUUCGGGAUGGGGUUCGUCUACUUGGUAGUCAGGUGUGUAUGGGUGGUGUCCGUUGUUGGAAGAGUUGCUUGUUGGGACGCAUGUGGAGUCUUAAGCGUUUGAGUGGGUUGAUGUGUAGUUGAGUGGCGUGUAUGUGUGGUGUCAUGGGGUUAAGGCGCGUGGUCGACAGUUGUCCUUGGCUCUGUGUCUUGUUUUACGGUUGAAAGUAGGUAUGUGUAGGGAAGGUCAGCUGUCAGUCUAUGUCAGGGAUAGUGGGUCAGGGAGGGUGGUAAGUGGGAAAGGGAUGGGGAAAGAGGGAUGUACUGAGGUGGGGGGGAGGAGGAAUGAAGAUGAG